rnacentral:tRNA from 1 species
GGCAUUAACUCAGUUGGUAGAGCAUCUGAGUACAAAUCUGGAGCUCGUGGGUUUGAAACCCUCAAAGUCG